rnacentral:rRNA from 1 species
GAUGAACGCUGGCGGCGUGCCUAAUACAUGCAAGUCGAGCGAACAGACGAGGAGCUUGCUCCUCUGACGUUAGCGGCGGACGGGUGAGUAACACGUGGAUAACCUACCUAUAAGACUGGGAUAACUUCGGGAAACCGGAUCUAAUACCGGAUAAUAUAUUGAACCGCAUGGUUCAAUAGUGAAAGACGGUUUUGCUGUCACUUAUAGAUGGAUCCGCGCCGCAUUAGCUAGUUGGUAAGGUAACGGCUUACCAAGGCAACGAUGCGUAGCCGACCUGAGAGGGGGAUCGGCCACACUGGAACGGAGACACGGUCCAGACUCCUAAGGGAGGCAGCAGUAGGGAAUCUUCCGCAAUGGGCGAAAGCCUGACGGAGCAACGGCGCGUGAGUGAUGGAGGUCUUCGGAUCGUAAAACUCUGUUAUUAGGGAAGAACCAAUGUGUAAGUAACUAUGCACGUCUUGACGGUAACUAAUCAGAAAGCCACGGCUAACUACGUG